AGAAUGAACAAACCAAACAACAUUCUUAAACAAAGGGUUUUCAUUCCAUUCUCCUUGAUUCCCAUUCUCAUUCUCAUUCCCUUUCCCCUUCUCCAACCAAACGGCCCCUAAAUCCUUUCCCAAUUUUGUAAUACAACUACUCCAUAUCAAUUAGAAUGAUUAUAAAUAAACUCUAGCUGAAUUUAAAGUUUAUCCAGUAUCUCAAAAGCCAGCAUUUAAAGUACUUCUUAAUUUAAUUCGUGACAGUUUCCGAUGUGCGUUCAUGAGUAUUGCAAAAAAUUGUGAAACUCCCAAAACUCUUUGAAAAUUUCUGGAGUAACAUUUACUCCCUCGAUCUAUUUAUAGAUGUAGAUGAAUAAGUGUCUUUUGGCUUUACGUUUACUGAAUUACAAACUUUUAUAUAAGGCGGUCUUUCCUGUAAGACCGCCUUGUUGUCACCAAGCUGCCACGUAUGAGCUGAGUCAGCGUUUUAUCUCCCAAAAAAUAUAUAUACAUAUUUUGCAUUUCUUUUUCAUUUUUAUUUUCAUAACCCUAAUUCUCUCUCCUCCAAAUUUCUCUGACCCCCUCUCUCUCCUCCAAACCUCUCUGAUCCUCUCUCUCCUCCAAACCUCUCGGCCAACGCCGGUGAUAACCUGGAGAAUCGAGGUCGACGGCGGAGGAUACCGGCGACGCGGUUAGGGCGGAGUUUUGUUGAUUUUGCAGAUUAAUUUACCGGAAAGAUGAGAAUGUGGUGGCCGACGAGCAGCGGCGAAGGGAGGAAGGAGAUCGUGCGAUGUUCAGGAAGAGGAGAGGAGAGACCGAGGAGGUUGCGCGAUGAGUCGUCGUGGCUGCUGCUGCUCCUCGUCGGACAACCUAGUUAGGAAAUUGCAUGAGGAAGAUGAGGUGUUCCUUAUGAGGAGGAGGCGGAUUUGCCGCUGGUUGUUGGUGGUGGUGGUUGCCGCUGCCGCAAUUAGAGGAAGGAGACGUAUCGCCUGAUACUGAAGUUGCUCAGUCAUGCGGUGGCUGCGAGGCGAACGAAGCGAAGCUGCUAACCUCGCUAGGGUUUCGUAGCUGGAAGGAAGCGUUACUUGUUGGUCGAUUAUGCUGUUGUUGGUGUUUUAAUUUCGUUUUAGUUAAGAAUUGUAAUGUUUUAGUUAUGGUUUUUCUGUAUUUAGUUAAGAAAUAAAUGGUUUAGUUGAUUUUCUUAAGUGAAUAAUUGUUUAGUUAAAAUUCAUAUGAGUUUAGUCAACAUUUUCGGAGGUUUAGUUAAUAUAUUUUGUGU